CUUAGACUUCAUAUGAGUGACUCAGAGACUGUGUAAUACCUUCACCAAGUGGGUAAAGGAAAUCAUCAGUUCAACCCACUUCCUAACUACUAAGCAAAUUCUCUUGCCACUGAAAUUCCAGAAAUGCCUUCCGCACAGCACCAGAAGUUAGCUGGAGAGGUUAAACAGACAGAAUGAAAGUGUCCCUGACCAGUCAGGCCAGCUGUGCUUGGCCUGACUUGGCAGAAGUCACUUCAACUACUGCUGUUGCUUAGUGGGCAGAAGAGGACGAGGGCAAACAAAACCAAGGGGUCUGUGUUGACGUCAAUUGCCCACUGAAGGCCAUGCAGAUGUCCAUGGUCCGGGCUGCUGCCAGAUCUAUGCUGCCACUGAGAGCCAUGUCCAGGUCCACGAUCCUACACAGCUGAGUCUGUGUAGAUGCUGGUGGCCCAUGUUAUCAUCAAAGGCUUUAUGGAUAUCCGUGGUCUGGGCUGCCACCUGAAGCCAUUUGUUACAUAAGAACCUUGCUGCCAAAGGGGACCAUAUUAAUGUGAGUGGAUUGCAUGACUUCCUGAGGCCAUGGUGAUGUAUGGAUCCAUGCUGUUGCCUAGAGUCAUGUCCAGAACCAAGGUCCUACUGCCACUGGGGGCUGUGUGAUCUAUGCUGUCACUAGAAAACAUGUGGAAGCCCAUGACCAUACUGCUGCUGACUGUGAAGAGCUACUUUUGCAGUGAUGUCGAUCAAUGACUGCAGAUGCACAGUUGAGAGAGAGGACAUCCAAAGCUUCUGUGAUAGUCCCUUCCCCCAGCCUCCACUAAAGGAAAAGUUACAGCCUAGAUGGGAAGCCAUCAAGAAGAACUCUUAAAAGACAAAACUAUAAACCAGAAGACUCUAGAAACUACUGACUAAAGAGCAUCCAUUUCUUGCAUGCCCUGUGCAAUAAAAGCAGAGCUCCUUGGAGGAACAUAGAAAGAUCACAGAUGCCAGAGUGUUGGAGACUCAAGUUAACACAGACAGCUGAAUGGGAUGGAGACAGUAUGGAACCAGAGGACCAUUGAG
rnacentral:lncRNA from 1 species